rnacentral:rRNA from 1 species
CCUACGGGAGGCAGCAGUGAGGAAUUUUCCGCAAUGGGCGAAAGCCUGACGGAGCAAUGCCGCGUGAGGGAAGAAGGUCUGUGGAUUGUAAACCUCUUUUUUCAGGAAAGAAUAAAUGACGGUACCUGAAGAAUAAGCUCCGGCUAACCCCGUGCCAGCAGCCGCGGUAAUACGAGGGGAGCAAGCGUUAUCCGGAAUGAUUGGGCGUAAAGCGUCUGUAGGUGGUCUAGAAAGUCUACUGUCAAAUACCAAGGCUUAACCUUGGGCAGGCAGUAGAGUACCUUUAGACUUGAGUGCGGUAGAGGUAGAGGGAAUCCCUAGCGUAACAGUGAAAUGUGUAGAUUUUAGGGAGAACACCAGCGGCGAAGGCGCUCUACUGGGCCGAGACUGAUACUGAGAGACGAAAGCUAAGGGAGAGAAUAGGAUUAGAUACCCUAGUAUUCUUAGCUGUAAACGAUGGAAACUAAGUGCUGCCGAAAUGNAGUGCUGUAGACUAACGUACGUUAACGUUUACCGUCCGUCGGGUAGGUAGUGUCUCGCAACGAAGUAGAAACGUAACAAACGGAAAGUUAGUACGGACGUGAGACGUGCCGAACGGACGACCGACCGACGGGGAAGGUAGG